GCAAGUCGAACGGCAGCAUGGGUGCUUGCACCUGAUGGCGAGUGGCGAACGGGUGAGUAAUGCAUCGGAACGUGCCCAAUCGUGGGGGAUAACGCAGCGAAAGUUGUGCUAAUACCGCAUACGAUCUGUGGAUGAAAGCGGGGGACCUUCGGGCCUCGCGCGAUUGGAGCGGCCGAUGUUAGAUUAGGUAGUUGGUGGGGUAAGGGCUCACCGAGCCGACGAUCUAUAGCUGGUCUGAGAGGACGACC
rnacentral:rRNA from 1 species